rnacentral:rRNA from 1 species
AUGAACGCUGGCGGCGUGCCUAAUACAUGCAAGUCGAGCGAACAGACGAGGAGCUUGCUCCUCUGACGUUAGCGGCGGACGGGUGAGUAACACGUGGAUAACCUACCUAUAAGACUGGGAUAACUUCGGGAAACCGGAGCUAAUACCGGAUAAUAUAUUGAACCGCAUGGUUCAAUAGUGAAAGACGGUUUUGCUGUCACUUAUAGAUGGAUCCGCGCCGCAUUAGCUAGUUGGUAAGGUAACGGCUUACCAAGGCGACGAUGCGUAGCCGACCUGAGAGGGUGAUCGGCCACACUGGAACUGAGACACGGUCCAGACUCCUACGGGAUGCAGCAGUAGGGAAUCUUCCGCAAUGGGCGAAAGCCUGACGGAGCAACGCCGCGUGAGUGAUGAAGGUCUUCGGAUCGUAAAACUCUGUUAUUAGGGAAGAACAAAUGUGUAAGUAACUAUGCACGUCUUGACGGUACCUAAUCAGAAAGCCACGGCUAACUACGUG